AGGGUUUAACUGUCUCCCUCCCCUAGUCAAUGAAAUUGAUCUGCCCGUGCAGAAGCGGGCAUAAAUACAUAAGACGAGAAGACCCUAUGGAGCUUUAGACGAAAGAUCAAACAUGUAAAGAAACCAAACUAACCAAAAGGUACACAAAGGCCACUAAACCCAACGUAAAAUGAUCCAAAUGUCUUCGGUUGGGGCGACCAUGGGGGAAAGAAAAGCCCCCACGAGGAACUAGGGGCAAUCCAUUAAGUCAAGAGAUACACCUCUAAGCAACAGAAAAUCUGACCAAAAAUGACCCAGGACACUAAUCCUGAUCAACGAACCAAGUUACCCUAGGGAUAACAGCGCAAUCCUUUCCCAGAGUCCAUAUCGACGAAAGGGUUUACGACCUCGAUGUUGGAUCAGGACAUCCUAAUGGUGCAGCCGCUAUUAAGGGUUCGUUUGUUCAACGAUUAACAGUCCUACGUGAUCU
rnacentral:rRNA from 1 species